CUAGCAUUUUGCGAGACCAGGGCUGGACAACAUGGUAAAAUUCCAUCUCUACAAAAAUACAAAAAAUUCGCUGGACAUGGUGGCACAUGCCUGUAAUCCCAGCUCCUCAGGAAGCUGAGGCAGGAGAAUCGCCUGAACCUGGGAGGCAGAGGUUGCAGUGAGCUGAGAAUACACCACUGAACUCCAGCCUAGGCAACAGAAUGAGUUUCUGUCUCGAAAAAAUAGAGAAUAAAUCUAGUCAUGGAAGGGAAAAGACUUGUACACUGAAAACUACAAAACAGUGCUCAAAUACAUUUUUAAAAACCUGAAAAAAUGUAGUUAUGAUGUUAAGAUGGUUCUAUUCCCCAAUUUGAUGUACAGAUUCAACACAAUCCUUAUCAAAUCCUACCUUCCCUUUUUGCUGCAGAAAUUGACAAGGUAAUCCUACAAUAUAUAUGUCAAUUUAAGGGACCCAACUGCCAAAACAAUUGGGAAGAAGAAAAUAUUGGAGGAUUCACACUUCCCAAUUUUAAAAAUUACUACAGAAACACUUCCGGUGCGGAAAAAUGGCAGCCGUUGUUCCGGACUCACGUGUGAGUGCAGAGGAAAAUCUGAGAAAGACCCCAAAGAAGAUGAUGAAAAUGGCAACCGGAGCCGUAGCGUCGGUGCUGGAAGAGGAGGGCACAGACACUUCCAAUAGUGAAGGUUCUAUAGUAGGAGGAUCUAUAAUAGGAAGCUGUGGAUCAGAAUAUGACUACUUUUAUUCUGAUGAGGAAGCAGUAGAAGCCGACAAUAAGGGUGAUGCUGAGCCCUGUGACGAAGAAAAUGAAGAUGACGCAGAAUCAAAUAUUCGGACCAAUACAGGCUGGGUAGAUGCCAUGGCUAAAGUCCUCAACAAGCAAACUCCUGAAAGUAAACCUACUAUUCUGGUAAAAAAAAUAAGAAGCUGGAAAAGGAAAAAGAAAAGUUAAAGCAAGAAAGACAAGAGAAAAUAAAACAGCGUGAUAAGAGGAUGGAGUGGGAAAUGAUGUGCAGAGUAAAGCCAGAUGUUGUCCAAGACAAGGAGACAGAGAUCUUCAGAGAAUUGCAACGAGGAGUGUGGUGCAAUUAUUUAAUGCUGUUCAGAAACAUCAAAAGAACGUUGAUGAGAAGGUUAAAGAAUCUGGAAGCUUUAUUAGAAAACGAACUAAGUUGAUAUCAACUGUUUCCAAGAAAGAUUUUAUCAGUGUUUUGAGAGGAAUGGAUGAAAAUACAAAUGAGACUACCUCAAGCAAGAAGAAACCAAAAGCCAAACAGACUGAAGUGAAAUCAGAAGAGGGCCUAGGUUGGACAAUCCUACAUGAUGAUUUCAUGAUGGGAGCAUCUAUGAAAGACUGGGACAAGGAAAGUGAUGGGCCAGAUGACAGCAGACCAGAAUCUGCAAGUGACUCUGAUACAUAAAGCACCAUAGGAAAUAAAAUAAUUUUAUUUUUUCUAGAAAAAUAUUUCAUCCCCUGAUAAUUGGGGGAUUAUAAGGAUACCAAGAGUCAAAAGACUUUUGCCUGAUUUCAUAUUUCCCCUUUUCAUGUACACUUUAUAUAUACUUUAUUAAAAUUAUAUUUUAAACCCU